AAGAGUGCGUAAUAGCUCACUGGUCGAGUGACCCUGCGCCGAAGAUUUAACGGGGCUAAGAUACACACCGAAGCUUGGGGAGUAGGACAGUUGACAGUGCAUAGUUGAGAAUGGAUAGUGAAAAGAAAUGAGAAGCAUAGUAGAGAAGAAAAGCUUUGAGUUGGCAGUCAGAAUCGUUCGGAUGAGCAGGUAUUUAAGGAAACGAGGAGCUGAGCAGCCGAUAAUCGAGCAAAUACUCAGGAGCGGAACAAGCAUAGGUGCGAACAUAAGUGAGGCACAGAAUGCGCAGAGCAAGAGAGAUUUUCUAUCUAAAAUGCAGAUAGCAUUGAAAGAAGCAACGGAGACACAGUAUUGGAUAAGGCUUUUGAAAGAAGUAGAGAGCAUGAAUGAGAAAGAAUAUGAGAGCCUGAUGAAAGACUGUGACGAAGUGACGAAAAUGCUGAUUUCCAUCGUGAAAACGACGAGGGAAAAGGAGAAAUAACUAUCAACUAUCAAUUAUCUACUGUCAACUGCCCUACUCGGUAGGAGAGCGUCGUAUACCGGGGUGAAGCAAGAGCGGAAGCGCUUGUGGACUGUAUACGAGUGAGAAUGCCGGAAUGAGUAGCGAGAAAUAUGUGAGAAUCAUAUUGGCCGAAAAUCUAAGGUUUUUGGAGGAAGGUUCGUCCGCUCCAAGUUAGCCGGGGGCUAAGGCGAGGCCGAAAGGCGUAGUCGAUGCACAUACGGUAGAAAUUCCGUAGCCACCGAAAGAUUUAAGUAAAGUGACACCUUGAAAGGACACAACCCGGGCGAUGGUUGCCCCGGGCGAAAGGGAUGCGAAAAUAGUAGCAGAAGUGUGUUUAGACGAGGGCGAGAAAAGCUUUAUGGUAUAUCUGAGGUGCCCGUACCGCAAACCGACACAGGUAGAUAGGAAGAGGAUUCUAAGGCCAACGGGAGAAGGGUAGUUAAGGAACUCGGCAAAUUGAUCCCGUAACUUCGGAAGAAGGGAUGCCACAGAGAUGUGGCCGCAGAGAAUAGGCCCAGGCGACUGUUUAUCAAAAACACAGGUCUCUGCUAAAUCGAAAGAUGAUGUAUAGGGGCUGACACCUGCCCGGUGCUGGAAGGUUAAGAGGAGAUGUGAGAGCAUUGAAUUGAAGCCCCAGUAAACGGCGGCUGUAACUAUAACAGUCCUAAGGUAGCGAAAUUCCUUGUCGGGUAAGUUCCGACCCGCACGAAUGGUGUAACGAUCUGGGCGCUGUCUCAACUACCCGCCCGGCGAAAUUGUAGUACCGGUGAAGAUGCCGGUUACCCGCGACAAGACGGAAAGACCCCAUGGAGCUUUACUGUAGCUUAAUAUUGGGUUUCGAUAAUUUAUGUAUAGGAUAGGCGGGAGACUUGGAAGCAUGGGCGCCAGCUUGUGUGGAGUCAACCUUGGAAUACCGCUCUUAAGUUGUUGGAAUUCUAACCUGCGGCCGUGAAUCCGGCCGGGGGACAUUGUUAGGUGGGCAGUUUGACUGGGGCGGUCGCCUCCUAAAAGGUAACGGAGGCGCUCAAAGGUCAGCUCAGCACGGACGGAAACCGUGCAAUAGAGUGUAAACGCGUAAGCUGGCCUGACUGCGAGGAUGACGGUCCGAGCAGGAACGAAAGUUGGAGUUAGUGAUCCGGCGGUAUGAGAGUGGAAUUGCCGUCGCUCAACGGAUAAAAGCUACCCUGGGGAUAACAGGCUGAUCUCCCCCAAGCGUCCACAGCGACGGGGAGGUU
rnacentral:rRNA from 1 species